UUUCCUUCUAUCUUAAUAUAAUAUGGACUGUACUUUUCUCCCCCAAAGAUCUCAUUAUUUUACAAGUUUUCUUUCACAGCUAGUGUUUUCAUAUUGGUAUCACAAACUAUAUGUUCCAGAAACACUGAAGUAUGAGCUUAUUUUCCGGCAAUAAUUUGUUAAAGGCUGAAGAACUGGCAUUUACUAAAAGAAAAAAAAUAUUUCUGUGGGUCAGAAACUAUGAAUCAAAGAAAGAGCCUGGCUCAUGAUCUCUUAUGAGGUUGCAGUCCUGCGUGUCAGAAGUCCAAGAUCAGCCUUUGUGGAUCAAAGUCAAGAUGUUGGCAAGGCAGUUCCCGCUGGAGGCACUGAAGAGGAAAGCUGUUCCCUUGCCUUUUUCAGGCUGUGGAAGCAAUCUGCAUUCCUUGUUCCAUGCUCCCACCUAUUUCAUUCUUUGUACUCCUCAUUUCAUUGUACAGAUUCAGUUUUUCUCCGAUAUAUUAGUUGUGCCUAAACAAUCAUUUCUUGUAGAGCAAAUAUGCUGACAAUGAAUUUCUUAGGUUUUUUGUUUGAGAAUUUUUUAUAUUUUUUAAUUUUGAAAUUUAUGUUCAGUGGGUAUAGAAUUCUGCUGUGACAGGUUUUUUUUGUUUGUUUUCUCUAAGAACUUUAGAAGCUUCCUUCCUAGCUUACAUGAUUUCUGAAGAGAAGUUUGCCAUAAAUAUUUUCUUUGUUCUUCUGUGAAUAACAUUAAUUUUUUUUUUCUCUGGCUGCCUUCCAGAUCUGCUCUUUGUCUAUUGUUUUUAACAGUUUGAAUAUGACAUGUCUUAAGGAGGGGGUGGGUAUAUGGUGGGAUUAAUUCUGUUUGAUCUCUGAAUUUCUGAAUCUGUGACUUGGAGUUUGCCAUUAAUCUUGGAAAAUUCUGCUCAUUACUUCUUCAACGAUUUCUUCUAUGCAUUUUCUUUCUUAUCUCCUGGGAUUCCAAUUAUGCUUAUGUUAAAAUGUUAACUAUUGUCCCGUAUCUCUUAAUAUCUCAUUUCUAUUUCUCUUUUUCUCUUUGUGUGUGUGUGUGUGUAUGUGUAUGUUCCAUUUUGUAUCAUUUCUAUUGUCCUAUCUUCAAGUUUACUUAUUCCUUUACUAUGCCACAUCUACUGAUGAGUCUUUUAAAAAAAUUCUUUACUACAGUGUUUUUCAUUUCUAGCAUUUAUAUUUGAUUCAUUUUUUUAAGAUUUAUUAUUCAUUUGAAAAUCA